UACGUAGGGUGCAAGCGUUGUCCGGAAUUAUUGGGCGUAAAGAGCUCGUAGGCGGUCUGUCGCGUCGGCUGUGAAAACCCGAGGCUCAACCUCGGGCCUGCAGUCGAUACGGGCAAACUAGAGUACUGCAGGGGAGACUGGAAUUCCUGGUGUAGCGGUGAAAUGCGCAGAUAUCAGGAGGAACACCGGUGGCGAAGGCGGUUCUCUGGGCCGAUACUGACGC
rnacentral:rRNA from 1 species